rnacentral:rRNA from 1 species
AGAGUUUGAUCAUGGCUCAGGACGAACGCUGGCGGCGUGCUUAAUACAUGCAAGUCGAGCGAGGUUACUGUUUUGGAUCCCUUCGGGGUGAAGAAGCUUUAACCUAGCGGCGGACGGGUGAGUAACGCGUGGGUAACCUACCCCAAAGUCCGGGAUAACAGCGGGAAACCGCUGCUAAUACCGGAUGUCUUUACCUUGGGGCAUCUUGAGGUAAAGAAAGGUAACGCUUUGGGAUGGGCCCGCGUCCCAUUAGCUAGUUGGUGAGGUAACGGCUCACCAAGGCGACGAUGGGUAGCCGGCCUGAGAGGGUGGACGGCCACACUGGGACUGAGGCACGGCCCAGACUCCUACGGGAGGCAGCAGUAGGGAAUAUUGCGCAAUGGACGGAAGUCUGACGCAGCGACGCCGCGUGAGCGAUGAAGGUCUUCGGAUCGUAAAGCUCUGUCCUUGGGGAAGAAGGCGAAAGCUUGACGGUACCCAAGAAGAAAGCCCCGGCUAACUACGUGCCAGCAGCCGCGGUAAU